AGAAUGACUCUCGGCAACGGAUAUCUAGGCUCUUGCAUCGAUGAAGAACGUAGCGAAAUGUGAUACUUGGUGUGAAUUGCAGAAUCCCGUGAACCAUCGAGUCUUUGAACGCAAGUUGCGCCCGAUGCCAUUAGGUUGAGGGCACGUCUGCCUGGGUGUCACA
rnacentral:rRNA from 1 species